rnacentral:tRNA from 1 species
GGCCAGCUGGAAGGCGCUCUCACCCUUGUCGGGGGUGAACGCGGCGAUGUAGACCAGUGCCUUGACGUUCGGGUUGCCGGUGGCCGCC